rnacentral:rRNA from 1 species
AUUGAACGCUGGCGGCAGGCUUAACACAUGCAAGUCGAGCGGGGUGAUGGUGCUUGCACUAUCACUUAGCGGCGGACGGGUGAGUAAUGCUUAGGAAUCUGCCUAUUAGUGGGGGACAACAUCUCGAAAGGGAUGCUAAUACCGCAUACGUCCUACGGGAGAAAGCAGGGGAUCACUUGUGACCUUGCGCUAAUAGAUGAGCCUGAGUCGGAUUAGCUAGUUGGUGGGGUAAAGGCCUACCAAGGCGACAAUCUGUAGCGGGUCUGAGAGGAUGAUCCGCCACACUGGGACUGGAACACGGCCCAGACUCCUACGGGAGGCAGCAGUGGGGAAUAUUGGACAAUGGGGGGAACCCUGAUCCAGCCAUGCCGCGUGUGUGAAGAAGGCCUUAUGGUUGUAAAGCACUUUAAGCGAGGAGGAGGCUCUUUUGGUUAAUACCCAAGAUGAGUGGACGUUACUCGCAGAAUAAGCACCGGCUAACUCUGUGCCAGCCGCCGCGGUAA